rnacentral:rRNA from 1 species
GGGGAAUAUUGCACAAUGGGCGAGAGCCUGAUGCAGCGACGCCGUGUGAGGGAUGACGGCCUUCGGGUUGUAAACCUCUUUCAGCAGGGAAGAAGAGAAAGUGACGGUACCUGCAGAAGAAGCGCCGGCUAACUACGUGCCAGCAGCCGCGGUAAUACGUAGGGCGCAAGCGUUGUCCGGAAUUAUUGGGCGUAAAGAGCUCGUAGGCGGUUAGUCGCGUCUGCUGUGAAAACUCGAGGCUCAACCUCGGGCUUGCAGUGGGUACGGGCUGACUAGAGUGCGGUAGGGGUGACUGGAAUUCCUGGUGUAGCGGUGGAAUGCGCAGAUAUCAGGAGGAACACCGAUGGCGAAGGCAGGUCACUGGGCCGCAACUGACGCUCAUGCACGAAAGCGUGGGGAGCAAACA